UUUGGUCCUAAAUCAGUAUAGUUAAUAUUACCAAAUAUUGUGAAAAUAAUGUUUGGUGAGAUGAUGUUUUGAAAAUAACUCAUUUGAAUAAUAUAGUUUUCAUUAAGAAACAAAACGGACAUUAUAAUGAUACAAAGAAAUCUACAUUAAUAAGGAGAUUCUAAAAAAUAACACAAAAACUCAAACUACUUGAAAAUAGUUACAUUAACCAAAAUAUUUGACAUAAACGUACUUUACAAAUAGUACUAACAAAAAGCAAAAAUGAACAACAAUAUACAUGGUUGCAAGAAGUGCUUUGACUUCCAUUGAUUUUUUUAAUUUGUAAGAAGAUUACCAUCUAUAUUAGUAAAUUUUCUUGAAAUUGGGGUAUCUAAUUAUAUUUUUUUUUGAAAUUCUUUUACUUGCCAUAACAAUAAUAAUCAUAAUAUAAUUACUUUAAUAUAAAAUGUGAAUUAUAUAAUUUUACACCUCAUUUUUUAUGCAUAUUUAUCUUAGAGUAUUUGAC
rnacentral:lncRNA from 1 species